CCUAAUACUGAAUGAAAAGCGCGCCAAAUAAUAAUACAACGUGACGUCAUUUACGACGUCACGUCAUUAAGUUGGUACCCAGUACUGUGCACGCUGGUAUUACACUGAAACAACGUAAGGGGCUUAAAUUCAAAACAGUGAAAUUAUCAAAGUGGUAAUUUCACUGUUUCAAACAGUGAAAUUACCAGUUUUAUAUCACUGAUAUAUUUCUAUAAACCACCGAAAAGCAUGUAAUAAACGCAUAUAACUUACAAAUAUCAUGCAUGCGAAGUUCUUUACUCGUACAUUAGUUCGAAAAUUUGAAAACUGACUUACGCCCCUUUAGUUAUUAACGCCAUUGGUAUACUACUUUCUUUUCUAAGGCUACGACUAAAAACAUUGUUCCCGUCGCCGACGUCACAAAAACAUAUCUUCUCAGAUGAUCUUCACGUUAAGAAGUUCACCGCACAGCGUAUUUUGAUAUCAACUACAGCAGUGUUUUAAAUACUAUAUGCUAUAGAACAUUAAAUUGUUAUGGGAAACUAUAUAAAAUAUUUUAUGGGAAACGAACAAGGAAGUUUUGGAGGGGAAGGAGGUGCAACUAGUGCUAUAGCUGCUGGAGCUGCUUUAGCAGGUGGAUGGGAUAUUCAACUAAUAGAAAAGGCAGCAGGUCCUUCCGGCAUUAAAAAGAUCAAUGCAGAGGGUCAUACACCAAACCCUCGUCCUACCCAACCACGGGAAAACCAGCCACGUGCACCUCCACCACGAGAUCAUCUCGACAACUGAUAAUCCGUGCUUGUGCAGAUCAUUCUCGAUGUAGAAACAGCUUACAUGUAUUAGCUUACUAGUAUAAAUACCAUGUAUUUGUCUGUCUUGUACAAUGUUCACCUAAUGGAAAUUGAUUUAAUUGUAUUUUUAUAGUUUAAUGUGCAAUAUUUCUCAUGCCAGUGUUAACAUGUACAUAUUUAAUUCAAGUGUAAUUUACUGUAGAGUACAUUUACUACGGGUGAUCGGGAACAAAGUACUACACGUGUAAGAAUGACGUGAUCAUGCUGUGAUGAUGGAACAGUGGAUUUUACAAGACCAGGAAAUGAAAAUGCCGAAUGUUAUCUGUUCGAGUAAAAUACAUGAUAAAUACAAAUACAAGCAAUUGAUCAAGAUACCCUAACACUAACUCAUUUAAUACUGACUUCCUCGAAGAAUUUAAAUUAUUUGAAUAAACCGUUAAAUUAUCAACGUCAUACCCCUUCACAAUUGUAUAAAAUACGGAUUCUUUCUCUUUUUGUUCGUAAUACGUGCAUGUUAAAUAGAAAACUAUGUGCACGGUGUAUUUAUAACAAUUAGCUAAAUGUGAACUAAUUACAUAUAUUAAUGAAAUUGAUAUAAAAUUAAAGUAUGGACAAAUUGAUGGCAGAUGGAAGAUAUAUACGCAUGAAUUCAUUAAUUAUUGUUUAUUUUUUCAAACUUAAGAAUUUAUUUUCAUAACUUAAAAUGCAAGUGAAUGCUUAUAAUUAACCUAUGCAAUCAAAUGAUAAGAGCAUAUAUAUUUAUUUAUGAAUAUCUGCAUAAGUUGUAUUGUUAUAGCCAAUAUAACAACAACAACAACAGCAUAUGAAGUACCAUCAUAUUUGUUUGAUUUUAUUUUCAACAAUGCAAGUAACUUAACUAUUGUUUUCCUUUUAACAUGAGAUUAUUAAAUAAUAUUUCAUGAUGUCAAUUUGGAAUAUAACAGCUUCUUUGAAAAUUUUUGAUAAUAUUAACGCAUAUAGAAUUUGCAUAAAAAUUAAAAAUAUAAUAAA